UGAUUUUCACUUACAUAGAGUACUAAUUUGAUUAAGGAAAAAUCAUGUUCAUUCAUAAUUUUCAUUUUAAAAGUGUAUUGAUUCCUUCUGCAAAUCCAUACUGUCAUGCCUAUUACCCAAUAUCGUCAACGCGGAUAGUUCGUUAGUCGAAAAUACUGAAUAAUUAAACAAACCAAAUGGCAUCACUGGUGGUUCUUUUUUCCACUCCGCUAAACUGUCAUCUCAAACAAAAACAAAUGGAUCAUACAACUGCUAUGAAUACAUUCGACUCGUUUGCUUCCAUCAAUCGGUAAGUGAGAAAGAUGAUUUCUCCCAUCACCACAGUACGGAUUUCCACUUCUAUCACAGCAGCCAACAACAUCCGUUUUCCUGCAGUAGUAACCUUCAACCCCUGUUGGCAAUGCCGGGGGACAGCAUCAACAGCAGCAGCAGCAGAAUUUGACCAUGGUAUGGUAUUGCGAAGAACUUUCCCCAUUAGAGGUUCCGUGCUUCGCGCACAUUCAAAAUCCUCUUCAGACACGAAAACUCAACGACAAGGAGGUAUUUAUCAACUUGCUCAGCUGAAUUACCACCCGGAGGAACCCGAAUGCACUGAUUCCGUUGUAUAGUAGAAUGAAAAUAGGCGAGGUAAGCGAACGUAAUCGCAUGAUAUUUUAAUAGUUCGCAUUUUUAUCCGGAUCAUACAACUGCUAUGAAUACAUCCGACUCAAUCAAUCGGCGAGUGAGAAAGAUGAUUUCCCUCAUCACCACAUUGCUUAUUUCCACUUCUGUCACGCCAGCCAACAGCAUCAGCUUUCCCGCAGCAGUAUCCUUUAAGUCCAGGGUGCUAUUCCGGGCAACAGCAUCAUCAGUAACAGCAGCAGGACCUGGCCAUCGAUAGUAUUUCGAGCAAUUUUCCCCAUCGGAGAUCCCGUGCUUCACGCACAUUGAAGAAACCUCCUCAGCCACAUAUGUGUGUCAAGGAGAAAAAGGAGCUGGAUUCGAAUCGUCAAUCCAGACAACCCGAAUGCACCGAUUACAUUAUAUAUCUUGUUUAUAUUUUAUAUGCAUUUUGUGUUUUUUUGAAUAAAAUGAUUAAAAUCGA